AUGGCGGCCACACUUGGCACCUCUGUCGCUGCCUUCCCGCAAAAGUACCUUGGGCUUCCCCUUUCUCCCCAUAAGUUGCACCCCUCCGCGUUCCAACCCGUCAUAGACCGUUGCGAUAUGUACUUGGCCGGAUGCACUCGAGCCAAUCUACGCCAUAAGUCCAUCAUCGAGACAUCAUCCUGUCCCCGUUGCGGCGGUGCGCCGAAGGAUCGUGCUCACCUCUUCUUCACUUGCCCCGCUGCUAUCACCAUAUGGGAUGCGCUCGGACUACAUCCGGCCUCCUCACCGCUUACGGAGCUGUGGAGCGUGCCAUGUCACCCCACCCUGCCGCAGUCCGUGUGGCCAUUCAUCCUAUUGCUUCUACUCUGGAAAAUUUGGGAUGCACGGAAUGCGAUGACCUUCAGAGGGGUUAACCAAACCCCACAUGAUGUAAUUAGGGCAGUAAUCUCUGACCUCGCUCUCUGGUCACACCGCCUCUCAAAGGCGGACCAAAUAAUCCCUGCCGGUCUAUGGCGGGAUUUCUUUUCCUCUCGUCUUACCUAA
rnacentral:rRNA from 1 species